rnacentral:rRNA from 1 species
UACGUAGGUGGCAAGCGUUGUCCGGAUUUACUGGGCGUAAAGAGCGCGCAGGCGGUCGUACAAGUCGCGUGUGAAAGCCCCCGGCUCAACUGGGGAGGGUCACGCGAUACUGUUCGACUCGAAGGCAGGAGAGGGAAGUGGAAUUCCCGGUGUAGUGGUGAAAUGCGUAGAUAUCUGGAGGAAUACCGGUGGCGAAGGCGGCAUCCUGGACCGGCAUUGACGCUGAGGAGCGAAAGCCAGGGGAGCAAACGGG